CCUAAAUCCUUUAAAGUUGGCAUUUUUAUCGUUUUGUCGUGUUAAUUAAGCCUUUAAAAGCUAUUAGUAUCCUAGAAUUAUGCAUGAAUUCUGUUAAUUAGGUCUGUGCUUUGCGAUUUAAUUUGUAAAAAUUGAAUUUUGUUUCUCGAAUUUUUAGGUUUAGUCUCGCUUAAUUGCUUAAUGAUUCUGGAUUUUACUGUUCAAGGUGUAUUUGUAGAUAAGUAAUUGUUAUUUUUUCUGCAUUUAGUUGUUAGGUUGAAAUGAAUGAUAGGAUAAAUUUGAAAUUUUGGCAUAGUGGGUUGUUCAAAGGCAUAAAUAAUGGUGGUUUGGUGCAUGAGGGAGGUGUUGGCAGAACUAAAGCAAUUGAUCUAGAUUUAGUGAGUUUCUUUGACCUUAUUUAGUUAACCAAGGAGGUUAGUAGGGAUAAAGAAGUUAAAGGUGUUUUACUCUUGGUUCUUGGGCUUAGUAUGGAAAAUGGAUUGAGGAGACUGGAGGGUGAUGAAGAUGCUAUGGAGGUAGCAGCUUUGGGUGUUAAGUAUAAGGUGUGUGGAGCUAUAUAUAUAUAUAAUUACCAGAACUUGAACCAAAAGAGCCCCCACCUGUUCAAACACACUUCCAACCACUUACACAAGCUUCACAGUCUACCCCGCUCUCAUCCAAGCAUAACAAAAAGAAAAGUAAACCAAAAAGGGGCCCACCCACUGUAUUGACUCAAGUAAGGUCAAGUCCUAGGACAAAAAAGCCACUGCUUCAACAUUAAUUCUAAAAUUUCCACCCAAUCUUGACCAUGAGCUGGCCAAAAAAGAAUCUUUCGCAUCAACCAAACAUAAAGCUGACCCAAGCUCACCCCUUCUUACCCAUACUACUACAUCUUCAGAUCUAGUUUUUUUAAAGCACCCAACUCCACAUAAAACCCCUAAAGCACAAACUACUACUGUAACAAAAAUCACCAGUGUGCCAGAUGACUAUAAGUGGCUUGAUAACAGGCUUGAAAGUCCUAUGAGGAUUGAUGAGCUGCUGCAUAGUUACAAUAGUGAUGAAAGUGAUGGUAAAGACCCUCUUUAUAACCCUGUAGUAGAUUAAGGGAAAGGUGUAUUAGUUGAGAGUAGUAAGAAGGGGAAGGAUCUCAGUGAAGGUGGUUUCUUUCAAGGAGUUUAUACUGAUGAUUAGUCAACUGAUGGAGAUGAUGAUGACUUGGAAGAAGAGGAUUUUGUAAGGGGAUUGGAAGGUUUAGAUGCAGAGUUAGAUGAUCAAUAUAAUGAGGCCAUUUUUUAUGAUAAGGAACUGUAUGACUCUGAGGUUAGUGAUGAAGAGUACUCUCAGGCAAAAGAGAGAGUGAAGGCUUGUACCACACAACUUGUACAAGCAGCUGAUCAGUUAGCUAAAGAAGUAGUGCAAGGGAAGGUGUGUAUUGUGAAUCCAGAAGAGGAAGCAAAAUAAACUCACAGUUUGUCAGAAUAUGAAAAGAGUGAUGAGGAAGAAAAUACUCCACCAACAACUGAAGAUGAAGGUCUUGAGGCUAACAGGAGAAAUAGAUCAGGUUUGUUAGUUAGCCCAAACAUCGAUUUUUCUCGGUUUAAUUGGAGAGUAGGGUUGAGGUUUGCAAAAAGGGAUGACUUCAAAGAAGCAAUUUCAAAGUAUGCAGUAUUUAAAGAGAAGAAUCUUGUGAUCAAUGACAGCAACAAGAGAAGGGGUCAGAGAAUUGGAGCAAGGUACAUUAAGGGUUGUCCUUUUAGGGUGUAUGCUCUUGGCAUACUGGAAAGGCUAAACUGUUGGUGAAGAGAGUGUGUAAUAAGCACACUUGUCAAAGAAACAUGUAGAAAAACAGGCAAUUGAAGCCAGAUGGGUUGCUUAACAGUUUAUCGAUGUUUUCAAAACAAGACCUCAUUAGCCUGCCAAGGAGAUUGUCGAAUUUAAGAGGGCUUACAAGAUUAUAGUGACUAGGAUUUUUUCUAGGGCUGUAAAAAAAAACCGACCUGGUUGUCCCGUCCCGAUUACCCGAUGACCCGCAAAAAACCCGAUGGGAAAUUGACAAAUUUUUCUGUAUAUUCGGGUCGGGUACCCGUCCCGCUAAAAUAGCAGUUUCGUGGGCCGGGACAUGGGACAAACUUUGCUAAAAUCGGGUACCUGGAUACCCGUUAAAAAAAACAAAAAAAAAAAAAACUAAAACUAAAAAACGUACUAUACCCAUUACCCACCCUAUCUUCUUCUCUUUCUUUUUAGAUCCUCAUCCUCCUCUUUCUCUCUCCUCUUCCCCCUGUUACUCUUUGUCACUCUCUCUCUCUCUCUUUCUCUCUCUCCUUCUUACGCUCUCCUCUUCUCUCUCCUCUCCUCUUUGCUUUCUCUUUCCUCCUUUUCACGCUGUUCUAGUGGUGAUGACGAAUACAGUGGCGUGCGGAGGUGAUGAAUAAUACGGUGACUUGCGGUGGUGAAUAUUUAUUUGACAGCAACAAUUCGUUAGCCAUAUGAUUCAUAUUUCAUCCAUUCAUUAAAUAAUCCUCCCGUUGUUCAUUAAGUCAUCGUUGGUGAUACGACAAAUUUUUCGCCAUCGAUCGAUGAUAAUAUAAUUAGAGAAGAAGCAGGGUCAUCUUUAAUUUAUGGAGAAUAAAACAAAGAGAAGAAUGUGGAAGAAGAAGUAGACGCGUUUGCAAUUGAUGGGUCUUUUGCUAAUUAGUUUGUUCCUCCUCUAGUUCCUUUUCAACACCAUCUUAAGAAAGACAAGGUUUUUAUUAGAUUUUUCUUUUUUCCGAUUUUUGGGUACUAAUUUGUUUGUCAAAUUAUGCUUUUUUGAAUUUUGAGAAGUUAAUUUCUAAUAUUAUGUUCUGUUUUUUUGGGAUUCUACUUUUUAAUUUGAAUUUUGGGUUUUACAAUUUGAUUAUGGGUUUAUGAUUAUAAUUUUGUGCAAUUUGUUUAGCAUUAUGUUCAGUAGAUUCAAUUUUUGUUGCUUUAUAGUUUGGCUUCUUAGGAUCCAUUGCAUUCAAUUUCAAUAGAGUCAAUUUUUUAUAAAAACAUCAAAUAUAAACUUUGAAACUAAUUUUACAGCAGCUUUAGAUUCCAACUAAUUUUAAUUCGGAUACCCGUGUCCCGUCCCGAACCCGAAUUAUCCGGGACGGGACACGGGCUGACUUAUCAACUACCCGAAGAUCCGGAGAUCCGGAUUUUUGGGUACCCUAAAAUCCGGGUACCCGGAUCUGAACACCCCUAGUUUUUGCAUACAAGGUAAAGUAUGCAGCACACGGGCUAUUACAUGGGAGUAUGCAUGAGCAUUACCAGAAAGUGGGAGGGUACUUGGCUUAAUUGCAAAAGACCAGCCCUGGAAGUCACACUGAGUUAGUGACAAUCAUGGAAAAGGUUCCUCCACCAGGUUCCAGAGAUUAUUCAUGUGUUUUGAGGGGCUAGCUAAAGGGUGGAAGGAAGGGUGCAUGAAGGUUUUGGCUGUGGAUGCAUGUUUCUGAAAGACUUUCUUGGGUGGCCAGCUUCUUUGUGUUGUAGGGAGGGAUGCAAAUGACCAAAUGUACCCUGUGGCAUGGGAUGCUGUAGAGGGAGAAAACAACUUGAGCUGGGAAUGGUUCUUCAAGCAUCUGCAAGCAUGCCUAGACUUGGGUGAAGGAGAAGGAGCUGCCAUCAUUUCUGAUGAGCACCAAGCUAUCUUGAAUGCUGUGUCAACUGUUCUGCCAAAAGUAGAACAUAGGCACUGUGCCAGGCAUGUCUUUGCACACUAGUACAAGACCUAUAGAGGAAAUGAGUUCAAAUUGCAAUUUUAGAAAAUUGCAAAGUGUUACAACAAGCAGACUAUGAAGAUGCUUUGAAAGAGUUGAGUGAAAUCAACUGUGAUGUAGCAGAGGCAUUCAAGCUUUACAAUCCACCCUUCUUUUGUAGAGCUUUCCUGAAGACUUCAAUCAAAAUAGAUGUCAUCACCUCUAACAUUGCUGAAACCUUCAAUGGUUACAUAAUUCAGGCCAGAACCAAGCAUCUUAUGUACAUGCUUGAGGAGAUAAGAUCUGAUCUCAUGCAAAGGUUUGUCAAGAAAAGGCAAGAAAUGAGCAAAUGUAAUCCUGUUCUUUGCCCAAGAAUUCAGUCAAAGCUGAAUAAGGAGAAAGAUAAGGCUGCAUACUGUGAGGUCUUCCCUUAAACAGAGAUUCUCUUCAAUGUGGCUUACUACCUUGAUCUAGGCCUGAUCACGGAUCGGAUAUCCGAUCCGAAAGAGGAUUUCGGAUCGGAUAUCCGUAUCCGAAAAUACGGAUAUUUGAUAUCCGUAUCUGAUCCGAAAAUUUCGGAUAUCCGAAAAUCCGCAUAUCCGAAAUUUUUGGAUCGGAUAGUUCGGAUAUCCCAUAUCCGACUACUUUAAUUACAGGUUUUUUAAAUGGAAAAAUUGAUUUUUUUAUUCCCAUUUUUUUCUCAUGUUCUCGUAUACUCCCAACCAACAAUUAAUUUUCAGAAAAAAAAUAAUAAAAUAAUAAUGGCUAAACUAAUGAAGAUCAAUUUCCCAAAAAUAUAUCAAAAUUAUCAAAAAAUUAAAACAAAAAAGCGGCCUACUCUAGAAACUGAACCCAGAUACACACAAUUGAAAACUCCAAGCAAAUCAAUUGAAGCAGAGCAAGGGAAUAUAAUAUAAUCUAAAAUUACAAUUAUAUACAAAAAUACAAAUAAUUAAAAUCUGAAAUUUGAAAAAAAAAUAAAACUACAUCCAAAUUCUAACCUAAAUUAAAUUAGAUAUGAAAUCGGCCUCGUUGGUGUCGGUGACUCGGUGUUAAUGUUGACCACAAUCUGUGUUGUUGUUGCUCGUUGUUGAAAACCGCAGGUGUUGCUCGGUGUUGCUGUUGGUCGCUGUUGGCAACCGCCAGUGUUGCUCGGUGUUGUUGUUGUGGAGUUAAAAGUUGAGACUUGAGAGAAGAAAGAAUGGAGUAUGGACAUGAAGAGGAUAGAGAAGGAAAAAAAUAAUGUAAUAUGGAGUUAAGAGGAGAGAGAAAAGAAAGGGAGGAGAGAGAAAAGGGAGGCAUGCGUGAGUAGUACUAGUGACAGAGGAGAAAAUGGAGGAGAGAGAAAAAGACAGGGAGCAAAGGAGAAAAGGGAGGAGGCGUGACAGUAGAGGAGAAAAGGGAGGAGAGAGAAAAAAAAAAAUGGGUGGUUGUUAUUUAAUUAGGUUUUUUUUUUAAUAGGAGGUAUUUUUACGUUUCCUACUUUCGGAUUAUUUUGGAUAUUCGGAUAUCCGAAAUCCGAAAUUUCGAUAUCCGAAUCCGAUUCGAUAUUCGAAAUUUUCGGAUCGGAUAUCCUAAAUUUUCAGAUCGGAUUUUUGGAUUUUCGGAUAAUCAGAUAGUUUUGCUCAGCCCUACCUUGAUCAGGUUGUAGUUGAUUUGGAUGCAAAAAGUUGUACAUGCAGGAAAUGGGAUAUGCUAGGCAUUCCCUGCUUGCAUGCAUGUGCCUGCAUCUUCUUUCUAAACAAAGAAGCAGAAGAAUUUGUGGAUCCUUGUUACACUAGGGAGAAUUAUCUGAAAGCAUAUGUAGGUAACUGUUCUUUCCCUUCCAUUCUCUGUUUUGUGUCUAGUUGAGAUUUUACAUAAGUCAUGCAAUUGAUUCCCUUCAUUAAUGUGACUUGAUUAUUGUGUGUGUACUAUGUGUUUAACUCAAUGUAUACAGAUAUGACAGGAUCAAUUCCACCCUUAGAGGGUGAAAGAUAUUGGACUAAAAUUGUCUGCUCACUAGACCCACCUCCCCUUAAAAUAGGACCAGGGAGGCCAAGAAAGAACAGGGUUAAGGACCCUUUUGAGAACCCCAAGAAACCAGGAUUUUUUAACUAAGACUGCUAUUGAAAUGUCUUGUUUUGUCAGCAAAUCCAAAUACCAUAACAAGAGGACAUUACUAGAAAUUCCGAUUUCCGCAGACAGUUUUUGACGGACACGUAUUUCCGUCGAAAAAAUCAGAAAUUCCGACGGAUGCAAAGAGAAGGGGCGUAGUUGAAAACCUCUCCAACUCCGACGGAAAUUUCCGUCUGAAGAGGUAUAUUCCGACGGAAUCUCAAUUAAAGUCAAAAAAGCGCCGACAGAAAAAAAUCCGUCGAAAACUAGCCUUCCGACGGAAAUGGUCGAAUUUCCUACGAAGGGUUUUGCGACUAAACAUUCCGACGGAAGACCAAUUUUCGAAGGAAUUUCGACUGAUUCCGACGGAUUAUUUUCGUCGGAAUCAAGCUGUUUUCUAGUAGUGGGAGAUGCCCAAAUAAGGAUUAUGCAGACACCUCCACUGAACCACCCUAGAAAAAGCCUAGGGGAAGGCCUAGGAAAGAUGGCAACCCAGUCCAAACCCCUCUGUCAGCAAUUGAAAGUGCACCUGCUGCACACCAUAACAUCUCUGCCCAACCCACGCUACUUGGGAGAGGUUCCAGAGCAAUUAGAGGUGGAAAAGGUGCAAGAGGAGGUCAAAAAUCUGCAGCUACUACUUCAGAUGCAAGACAGUCUGAAGGUGCUUCAGGUUUAGCACAACCUGCAACUGCAGCAGCAGGGCAAGGAAAAACAAGGGGUGGGAGAUUUAGAGGUGGUAGGGCAGAGAAGAGCCAACUUUCAUGAGCCAAGGGGGGUUGGAGUUAUCAUUGGUAAUGAUGGGUCUAUACUUAACAAUGUGGGGGGAAAAUCUGCAAGAGAGCAAGCAGGGACAACAACCACCAUGAAGAGCAAGAGAUCAUUAGGUGACCAAACUUUGAAUUACAUCAUUGGUGGUCAAUCAAGUCAGCAAUCAACCCUCCACAACCCAACUCAGUAGUACUUCAAGACUAUGUGCAUGUAUAAAACAAUUAUGACCUUAGGUUGUCUAUGAAUCUAUUAUGCAACUCUGUUUAUUUUGAAAACUACUAUACAGUAGCACCAGCUUGUUAAUUUGCUGGAUAUUUUGGAUUUGGCUACUUGGGUUGCAAUAUAUAUUUUGGCUAUUUUGUUGAAACAAUUAUGUUAAGAUUAAUCAUUGUUGCAAUGUACUAAGUUCAAAUCAUAUGAUACAUGUAUUGACUCAACGUGUUAGCAAGAAGAUUUUUUAUUUCACUGCAUAAAACGUCAUAGGUUACAUACCAAAACAACAAGUACUGAUAGCAAAACGUAAUUACUACUUAAUCCUAAGAUACUUGGAUUACAACUUCACACCACUUAAUUCAUUUCCAACUUACUACCCUUCUUCAUCAUGAAAACCACAAUGCCAAAAAACACCCAUGAAAAAAACAGAGCCAUUGUCAAAUUGGAUUCAUCCCUUGAAGACUUCAUGAGCUCAAUCCUUAAUUGGCUAAUUUCUGCUUUCAUCUCUUGUACUUCAUCCACAAAGUGGUCCCUUCUUUCCUUGCAAUCUCUUCACUUUGUCUUCUAACAUACUCUUUUGCAUCUCCAAUUCAGCAAUUAUUGUUUCCCAUUCAAAAUUUGAAAUCUCAAGUCGUCACCGUUGUUAUAAU